AUUCUUUUCUUCAGGAACCUCUCACAAAUGAGGCCAAGUGAGGGCUGGGUUUUACAGCAGGCACUCGAGGGAGCUGGCAAGGACCCUGAAGUUUAUGAAGCCUUACUGUGCAGAUGGGAAUUGGCAGGAGCGAUAUUUUUCAAUGGAUACUCAACCAAUAGGUAACAAACCACAUAGAAAGCAAUCGCAAGCUGGUAUGCCUGCUAUGGGAGAAGAUAAAAGAAGACAGAAUAAACUUCUUGACACUGCUUCUUUCAUGAGGUUACCUUCCAGGCAGCAGUGGCUAUGUGACAGAUGCUGACCAAUGAGAUGAAAGAUGACAUCUAUGGUAGAGCUUUUAAGAAAAGCAUAGAUUUUCUGAUAAGAAAAGGAAUGAACUUAAAUGGCAUAUGCCUUUGCUCUUGCCCUUUUUGCUUGCCUGGAAUGCAGUUACAAUGUCUGCAGAUGCAGCAGCCAUCUUGUGACCAAAGGAGAAAGCUACUUGCCAGGUUUAGUGGAGAUGGACAAGAGAAGAAACCAGAUUCCCUGAUGGCAUCCUUAAGCCACUACACUGGCACAGGGCUCCUACCUCCAGACUCCUGAUCAUGUGAGCAAAAAUA
rnacentral:lncRNA from 1 species